rnacentral:rRNA from 1 species
UACAGAGGGUGCGAGCGUUAAUCGGAAUUACUGGGCGUAAAGCGCGCGUAGGCGGCUUUUCAAGUCGAUUGUGAAAUCCCCGGGCUUAACCUGGGAACUGCAGUCGAGACUGUCUAGCUAGAGUAUGGGAGAGGGAAGUGGAAUUUCAGGUGUAGCGGUGAAAUGCGUAGAUAUCUGGAGGGAUACCGAUGGCGAAGGCAGCCUUCUGGCCUAAUACUGACGCUGAGGUGCGAAAGCAUGGGGAGCAAACAGG